rnacentral:rRNA from 1 species
CGGACGGGUGAGUAACGCGUGGGUAACCUGCCUCAUACAGGGGGAUAACAGGUUAGAAAUGGACUGCUAAUACCGCAUAAGCACACAGAACCGCAUGGUUCGGGGUGAAAAGCCGAGACGGUAUGAGAUGGACCCGCGUCUGAUUAGCUAGUUGGAGUGGUAAAAGCACACCAAGGCGACGAUCAGUAGCCGGCCUGAGAGGGUGGACGGCCACAUUGGGACUGAGACACGGCCCAAACUCCUACGGGAGGCAGCAG